ensembl:lncRNA
AAAGACCUCACUGGUUAGCCAAUUAAUUACUAACCAAAGCUUAUUCUCAGAGAACUACAUUUGGUGCCAUAGACAAGCAUCACCAAUUUAUUUAGUGUGAUUUAGUGUUCAUGUUCACAAUACAUCAUGACUCAUCACUGUCCUCACACCAUCCUUCACAUGCCUACAAACAUACAUACAGCAAGAGAAUUUUCAUUCAUACAGCAGUGCGUGUUUAUCUUUGGGGAUUUUGCUGAACAUACCAUGGUUUGUGAAAUGUUUUUUGUGUUCUUCUGUAGACAGAAGAAUAGAUAAUAAAAAAAAUUAAUGGUGUGUUAAAGCUGGAUUUAAAUUUCAGAGCUUAAAUUGGUUUGUGGCAUUGAUAUACUGUACAUUGUCUCAUGAUAUUGGAGUGAUUAUACAGAGACUUGUUUGAUGUGUUAUCAUAAACUUUGCAGUGCUGAAAUCACAUCUUUAAAUGUUAUUCCAUAGCCAGGAUUUUUUCUCCCUGAAGUCUGUUGACCUGCUGUCUCAUCUGCUUACUCUGCUCACUUACCCAGAGACGCUUAUUGAGAAGCAAUGGUGGAGCUCUGGAUAUCUCCUGAUGGAUUCACAUGCUGUGUGCUGGACUCUGCUUCUGCUGACAUGUUACAAAAAUGUUCUACACUGGGUCACAGGGAGCCUGGAGCCUACCCAGGGGACUUGGGGCAUGAGUGUCAUAUCACAUCAAUUCCGUGACUACAUUUCCCAUCCUGCACUGCGGCCUACGAACAUGGCCGCCAUGGACUACACUUCCCACACACAUGUUCACCUUCUCCGGAAUUCUAAUCACACACACCUGUUGCCAGUCUCACACUUACUCGCUCCACACUAUAUAAGAGACUUUUUGAACACCAUGACUUUGUGAAGUAUUGAGUGUUCUCACCUCACCAAGCAUUUGUACACGUUUCCUUGUUUUGUUUUAUGUUCAUUGAUCUUGCUUCUUGUCCCUCUGUCACAUAUUAAACGUUAUGAAGGUGAGGAUGGAUGCAAGUGCAGAUAAGAGCUUUUAAUAAAGAGAGGCACACAGACAAAUCCAAAUCAUGAGACUAGCAUAUUCAAGAAACAGGCAAUAGACCAGACGAUCUGUAAACAGGCAUGAACUAUGCAAGGUAAGAAUCGUCAAUGAGGAACAAGAAGCAAGAUCAAGACCUGAUGUGCACCAAAUGUUACCAUUUUUAAAUACAAAUUUUAUAAAAAUAUUUAUUACUGUUUGCUGUUAAGUCUUCUAUACCUCUAUACUGUAAUGUACAAAAUCCCACUAUACCAGUAUUGUGACCCAGGAAAGGAUGGAUUAGUUUUUGAGUCUGGUUUUGUCAAGGUUUCUUCCUGAGGUAAUCACAGGGAGUUAUUACUUGCCAUUGUCCCUUCUGGCUUGCUCUUUAGGAAUCUAAAUCUAUAUCCAUAUAUAAGCUGAUUUGUGACAAAGGCUGUUGUUAAAAAACACUAUACAAAAAAAAAAUUAAAAUGAAUUGUAACUUGUUGCUGACUGCCCUGCUACUUCUUUAAGCAAGCUUCAGCUUCUUCAGAAUACAGCAAUGAACAACUUUACUAGGAGAAGAAAGCCAGAACACAUUUCCCUGGUUUUAGCUACACUGGC